AGACGUCGAGAUAAGGAGAUAUGGACGUUUUAAGACAGCAAGGUCCCAACCCGUUUUCAAGUUGGGUCAAACCCAUUUCCCCUUGGUAUAUAAGGGAAAUAUAACCCUAGCAGCCCAUUUUUUUCUCCAAACUCAGAUUUUAGAGAGAGAAAGUGAGAGAGAGGGGAAAUGAGAGAGAGAAAGUAGAAAAUCAACCAAGUUUAAGGCCCCGAAUCCCGAAGCUCGUGAAGGAUAAAGUGUAGUACACGUUGUUGCCGUCAUUCUAAGCUAAGGAUCGAACUUGGGAGUGUUGAUUUCGUGAUUACUACUCUUGAAAGAUUGAAGUUGAAGGUAUUGAAGGACAUUGUGAUACGCUCAAAAGCGGGAAGUUAAGGUACUGAUAUAUAGGACGACACAUCUGCUCAGUAGGACAACAUUCGUAUCAGCUUAUUGGUGAUCCCGAUCUCAUUCGGGAUUUAGUCAACUUUUAUUUUAUGAUUAAUUAUGCAUCUAAAGGUAUGCUGGGGGCGUUGUCUCAGUGAGUAUGUUUUUCAGUCAGACUCAUGAUAGAGGUUUCAUAGACUAGACAAGUCA